rnacentral:rRNA from 1 species
CCUACGGGAGGCUGCAGUGGGGAAUAUUGGACAAUGGGGGGAACCCUGAUCCAGCCAUGCCGCGUGUGUGAAGAAGGCCCUCGGGUUGUAAAGCACUUUCAGUGAGGAAGAACGCCUGGUGGUUAAUACCCAUCAGGAAAGACAUCACUCACAGAAGAAGCACUGGCUAACUCCGUGCCAGCAGCCGCGGUAAUACGGAGGGUGCGAGCGUUAAUCGGAAUUACUGGGCGUAAAGCGCGCGUAGGUGGCUUGAUAAGCCGGUUGUGAAAGCCCCGGGCUCAACCUGGGAACGGCAUCCGGAACUGUCAAGCUAGAGUGCAGGAGAGGAAGGUAGAAUUCCCGGUGUAGCGGUGAAAUGCGUAGAGAUCGGGAGGAAUACCAGUGGCGAAGGCGGCCUUCUGGACUGACACUGACACUGAGGUGCGAAAGCGUGGGUAGCAAACAGGAUUAGAUACCCCAGUAGUC